rnacentral:piRNA from 2 species
UGAGGUCUGACCUGGUUCUUGUCAUCAUUC